rnacentral:sRNA from 1 species
AGAUGUAGUUGGAUUUUUGUUUUCAUUUUGUUUUGUUCUAUUUCAUUGUUGUUCUUUGGUCCCAGGGAUUAACCCCAGGCUCUUGUUUAUGCUAGGCAAACAUUCUGCCACGGAACUAAAGCCAAUAAAAAUAAGGAUGAAGGAAGAAAGGAAGGAAGGGAGGGGGACAAUAUCCGCUUUAUUAUAUAUGGACAACCGCUUAUACCGUGCAGAUCUGUCAACUGAUUAGUGUGUUACCUCAGAUUGGACAGAGAGCUUCAUACCUCCAGGGUCUCUCUAUGCCUAAGAAGCACAUUAAAGCAGGUGUGGAGAGAGUAGACUCAUCUGCAGGCCAGCUACCAAGUGACUCUACUUCUGAGUUCAGUGUUCCGACUUCUUAUUUAGAAGCGCGGUGUGCCACAUAAGAGGGCCACCAGGUAAGAUGAAACUACAGAAAGUCAGAUCUGGCUUAGACAGGAUUUUCAUAUGUCUCAGCGAGUCAUCUAAUACUGUGUGGAGGCACCGUGACCAUGCCAACUCUUACAAAGGACUUGCUCACGGUUUCAGAAGCCGUGUGUAUUAUCAGCAUAGCAGGAAGCACGGCGCCAUAUUGGUAGACGUGGUUCUGGAGGAGCUGAGAGUUCUACAACCAGAACAGCAGCCAGCAGGAAGGAGAAAGACACCGGACCUGGCUUGAGCAUUUGAAGCCCCAACGCCCACAUCAGUGAUACAUUUCCUCCAACAGGGUCUCCUCUACUCCAACAAAGCUGCACCUCCUCAUCCACGUGAAGAACCACCACGCCCUAAUGAUUAAGCAUCCAGGGAUUCGAGCCCAUGGAGACUGUUCUUGUUCAAACCACCACGCCAUAAUAUCAUUUGAUCCAUCAAGCCAGAGAAUAAAUUUAAUACUUCAGGAAAUCUUCCAAAUCCCAAUAAAGAUGUUAAUGGUGGGGAUUUGGGAUAUUGAGAGCCCUGUGGGGGACCAGCAGGACAGCAGAAUGCAGUACGACAGGGUGUGUUAGUCUCUCUUCACAUGGCUGUAACAAAAUAGCUCACAAAAGCCACUUAGAGAAGGAAGGGUGCACUAGGGUCGCAGUCCAUCAGUGUGGAGACUCAGUAACAGACUCCUCCUGUGCCCGUUCACACUCGUGUCUGCAGUCAGCAAGCAGAGAAGAAUAUUAGUGCCACCUUUUCAUCCUAGCUCACAGGAUGGCGCUGCCCACAGAUGGGCGAGCCUUCUUCAUGUUGAACAUCCCCAGUCACGCUGACAAUGACAAUUAACCACCGCAGUCAGGUCUUAAUGGCAAACCGAUUUGCCAGAAGUUGUUAGGAGCAGACAGAAGGUUAAAAGACAGCCUCGGCCCUGGGAGAACUGAGGUCCUCUGGAGAGAGACACACUCAAGAUUUUUAUAUCAAGCGUUCAGCUGUCUUGGGUAGAACCUGAGAGAGGAGAAAAAGACACAAAUCACAGAGGUGUCUAACGAAGAACGGAAGAACAAUGUGUUCUGUGACACCGUGUUUUUGUUUCUUUGAGGAAGAAAUGGUUUCCCAGGCUAAGUAUUUGAGGAGGAAAUGCCUUGGAGUUGCUGUAAUUUCCUCCUUUGGAAGUCUCUCUCAGAGGAAGCCCUGCGCGGGCAGCGGGGAGCCCUCAGUUUUCACUUUUCUGCUUUGUCUCUUAACUCGCUGCUUUACUUUAGGACAGUGUCUCUGGUUUUGUUUUGCUUUC